rnacentral:rRNA from 1 species
CAAUAGCGUAUAUUAAAGUUGUUGCAGUUAAAAAGCUCGUAGUUGGAUUUCUGAUCGAGACAUCAGGUCGGGUCCGAGAGGAUCAUGUACUUUGAUUUUGUUUUGAUCAUCCUUGGGGAGAGCAUUUCUGGCAUUCAGUUGUCAGGAUUGGGAUCCUCAUCGUUUACUGUGAAAAAAUUAGAGUGUUCAAAGCAGGCCUCGGCCUCUGAAUACAUUAGCAUGGAAUAAUAAGAUAGGACUUUGGUGGUCUAUUUUGUUGGUUUGCACGCCAAAGUAAUGAUUAAUAGGGAUAGUUGGGGGUAUUCGUAUUCAAUUGUCAGAGGUGAAAUUCUUGGAUUUAUGGAAGACGAACUACUGCGAAAGCAUUUACCAAGGAUGUUUUCAUUAA